GGCUAGUUAUAGUAGUCUGCAGUCGCACGAGUUCUCGUUGAUGAUCGGUAGCUUGCACCGAGAUUCAACAUGGAACGAGUGGCGGACGGGUGAGUAACACGUGGGUAACCUGCCCUUAAGUGGGGGAUAACAUUUGGAAACAGAUGCUAAUACCGCAUAGAUCCAAGAACCGCAUGGGUCUUGGCGGUAAAAAUACCGCCGUAACCCAUCCGCUUUUGGAUGGACCCCCCGCGUAUUAAGCUAGUUGGUGAGGCAACGGCUCACCAAGGCCGAUGAUACGUAGCCGAACUGAGAGGUUGAUCGGCCACAUUGGGACUGAGACACGGCCCAAACUCCUACGGGAGGCAGCAGUAGGGAAUCUUCCACAAUGGACGCAAGUCUGAUGGAGCAACGCCGCGUGAGUGAAGAAGGCUUUCGGGUCGUAAAACUCUGUUGUUGGAGAAGAAUGGUCGGCACACUAACUGUAGACCGCGUGACAGUAGCCAACCAGAAAUGCCACAGCUAAUUACGUGCCAGCAGCCGCGGUAAUACGUAGGUGGCAAGCGUUAUCCGGAUUUAUUGGGCGUAAAGCGAGCGCAGGCGGUUUUUUAAGUCUGAUGUGAAAGCCCUCGGCUUAACCGAGGAAGCGCAUCGGAAACUGGGAAACUUGAGUGCAGAAGAGGACAGUGGAACUCCAUGUGUAGCGGUGAAAUGCGUAGAUAUAUGGAAGAACACCAGUGGCGAAGGCGGCUGUCUGGUCUGUAACUGACGCUGAGGCUCGAAAGCAUGGGUAGCGAACAGGAUUAGAUACCCUGGUAGUCCAUGCCGUAAACGAUGAAUGCUAGGUGUUGGAGGGUUUCCGCCCUUCAGUGCCGCAGCUAACGCAUUAAGCAUUCCGCCUGGGGAGUACGACCGCAAGGUUGAAACUCAAAGGAAUUGACGGGGGCCCGCACAAGCGGUGGAGCAUGUGGUUUAAUUCGAAGCAACGCGAAGAACCUUACCAGGUCUUGACAUCUUUUGAUCACCUGAGAGAUCAGGUUUCCCCUUCGGGGGCAAAAUGACAGGUGGUGCAUGGUUGUCGUCAGCUCGUGUCGUGAGAUGUUGGGUUAAGUCCCGCAACGAGCGCAACCCUUAUGACUAGUUGCCAGCAUUUAGUUGGGCACUCUAGUAAGACUGCCGGUGACAAACCGGAGGAAGGUGGGGAUGACGUCAAAUCAUCAUGCCCCUUAUGACCUGGGCUACACACGUGCUACAAUGGAUGGUACAACGAGUUGCGA
rnacentral:rRNA from 1 species